UAGGGAAUCUUCGGCAAUGGACGAAAGUCUGACCGAGCAACGCCGCGUGAGUGAAGAAGGCUUUCGGAUCGUAAAACUCUGUUGUUAGAGAAGAACAAGGACGUUAGUAACUGAACGUCCUCUGACGGUAUCUAACCAGUAAGCCACGGCUAACUACGUGCCAGCAGCCGCGGUAAUACGUAGGUGGCAAGCGUUGUCCGGAUUUAUUGGGCGUAAAGCGAGCGCAGGCGGUUUCUUAAGUCUGAUGUGAAAGCCCCCGGCUCAACCGGGGAGGGUCAUUGGAAACUGGAAGACUUGAGUGCAGAAGAGGAGAGUGGAAUUCCAUGUGUUGCGGUGAAAUGCGUAGAUAUAUGGAGGAACACCAGUGGCGAAGGCGGCUCUCUAGUCUGUAACUGACACUGAGGCUCGAAAGCGUGGGGAGCAAACAGG
rnacentral:rRNA from 1 species